AUAUUUGUUCUCUUAUUCUUUUUGGUCAAAGAAUGGGAUGGAAGCAAAGCGAGGGGCACGUUUCUUUCAAAGUCUAAAGGGCAACAUGUUGAAUUUCAUAUUUCUAUAACAACAUGCACAGCGCUAAUAUGCACACGAGGAACUGAAAAGCAAUUAUAGCAAUCUAAUAUUAGAGAUCAAAAGUGAGGCGAAGCAGGGGAAUCAGGCAUGAAAUUUGCUCAUUGUUCAUUUCUCAGACUCUACAUGAACGUUCUUGCAUGGGAAACUUGGGCUGCGGGGAGUUGCAUCACACAGUCACAAAGCUGUUCUUUGAAAGAAGCUUUUUGCAUUAAAAAAACAAACAAUAACAACAAGAGAGUUCUUCUGACGGAUCACAGAUGAAGCAGAGCGGUUUUAUUUCCUGCCAAGGGAACUGGUUAAGAGAAUUAGAAGCUGUCUGAGGCAUCAAGCCGGGUGUGAUAAUGAGAUGGUGAGAUGGGUUAUAAAUAAUGUCAUUAAUUCCCAUGUCCUGCUAACACGUGCCACUCCACUUAAUGUACAAAUCCCAAAUCCCUCAGUGCAACGUUUGCUGACCUCGUCCUUAAAGGAUCUAAUAGCAUGAAGCCUACUUUGCAUGAAUCUGCUAGCUAGAAUUGGUAAUAAUUAUGUGGCACCAUCUCUGCUCCCAAACUAAAAGGCAGAAGGAUUUCUGUCACCAUAAACCAUGACUUUCUUCAUGUCUUCUGUUGCCUUUUUCAGGUGCUGGGAAUGCAUCCUGCCUCUCCUCUCACCAAGCCCUUUGGGAUGUCAAAAUGCCCUGUAUGCAGCUGGCGCGGCACCUGAAGGAAAUCACCACUUCUACCUGAAAUGGUCCUUUAUUCUCCAUCAGCAUCACAUGUAGUCUGAGUAAUGCUUCUUCUGCUUCUAUAUUAAGAGAGAGAAUGCACGGGGUGUUUUCAACAGGAAGGAAAAUCUCCUCUCUGUGACACUGUGACUUUUGUCACUGACAGUUUCUGUAGUGUUCACAUUUUCUUCUUCAUUCCUGGAGUCAGGACAGUUUCAUUAUCUCCGAAGAUAGUAUGUAAAUUGCCCAUCUUGUCAAUGAAUUAAACCCUGGUAAUUAAGGGCUUUUCUAAAUAACCUAAUAGAGAUGCUUCUGCUUUGAUGGGGUGAGUUCAGCUGCAAAGCAAUAUUUAUAAUGGACUACAAAAACUGUGAUCAACAGGAAUGCUUUGUCUGGAGAGUAAUGAUCCUCUCUGCCCUGCAUGGACAUGGCUCAACCUCUUCUUGACAAGGAUGGAAAUGAAGAACUGCUGAACCAGUGGUCAUUUCAUCAAGGGAUUCUGGGGACCUUUGAUUCUUCCAAAGAAACCCUUCCCCAGCCAACCUGACUCAGUGACAUUGCUGAUGAUGAUGUUGUGCUGGGAUAUCUCUGUGUCAACCUGGAGACUGAUGCCAGAAGAAUUGAUUUAAUUCCUGGUUUGGCCUCAGCAGCUCCUCUGUGGAUUGCAUAAGAAACUUUGCUUCUUUGCAGUUAUAAUCUGGUCCUGAGGACAGGAAGCUUUGCCAUCACCUCAGCCUUGGGCCUGCCUUUGCCAUCUGCUGCUGCAGCAGGACUUGGAGGUGGCAUAAGACACAGAGAUCUUCUGGAAGAAAUUAAAAGUGACUCUUUUAUACUGGAUAAAUUGAGAUAAAUUUUGCCCGUGCCUGCAUUUUGCUCGUGGCAUCCAUCUUUGCCCAUGAAAAGUUACAGCUGGAGUUGAGCAGGACUUGAGGAAUGGUCGCAUUGCACUGCAUAAAGUUACAGAUCACCAGGCUGCAGUCGAGCUGUGUACAGAGGGCUCAUUGAAGCAGCCAGGAGUUUAAUCGGAAGUGAAAAACAUAAAGUUACUUCUGCCCACAUAGACUGCUGAGAGAAGAGAAGCCUCAGCUCGGGAGGAUUUAGCAUUCUGAUUUUCCUGGAAAGAUGAUUCCCAGCACAAAAGAGAAUUUACAGAGCAUGCUCUGAUGCUUCUUCCAAAAACUUCCAUGCAGUCUGGGUGAGAUAUUUUGGACAGAGAAUGAUGCUGAGAAGAUACACCAUCAGCACCUUGGACCUGGGCAUCCCAGAUGCUCCAUAGCAGAGAUCUGUGCCAGCUCUGCACGAACCUGACUCAUACUUAAAAGCAGGAGCAGCCAUUCCCAUUGCUCUGGGUCAAACAUGAUUCCCUCUCAUGAUGUUGGCGGCACUCAGGUUGCCUGGAACAGGGGAACAAUUAACAGCUACCAUUAAAGACAAGAUCUGCAUUGCAUUAUUGGACUAAUAUUGCUGAGAAUAAUGUGACCAGAAUAGCUAUUCUUGCCUCAAGGCCAGAAAUGAUCUAUGCCAAGCCCACCUCCAUCCCUCCCCCUGUAUUGCCUCAUCUAUGCUGACAUUUCCUUGUGAAUAUUUAAGCAUCCUUAAUAUAGCAGUGUCAUCGAAGCUGACGACAGUGAUCCCCAGAUCUCCCUUGGCAGUGGACUGACUGUCUAAGUGUUCUUGCUGUUGGAGAGGAGCACGGACA